rnacentral:snRNA from 1 species
AGCUUUGCACAGUGGCAGUAUCGUAGCCAAUGAGGUUUAUCAGAGGCGUUAUUAUUACUAAUUGAAAU